AACGAACGCUGGCGGCAUGCCUAACACAUGCAAGUCGAACGAAACCUUCGGGUCUAGUGGCGCACGGGUGCGUAACGCGUGGGAACCUGCCCUUAGGUUCGGAAUAACUCCCCGAAAGGGGUGCUAAUACCGGAUAAUGUCUUCGGACCAAAGAUUUAUCGCCUUUGGAUGGGCCCGCGUUGGAUUAGCUAGUUGGUAGGGUAAAAGCCUACCAAGGCGACGAUCCAUAGCUGGUCGGAGAGGAUGAUCAGCCACACUGGGACUGAGACACGGCCCAGACUCCUACGGGAGGCAGCAGUGGGGAAUAUUGGACAAUGGGCGAAAGCCUGAUCCAGCAAUGCCGCGUGAGUGAUGAAGGCCUUAGGGUUGUAAAGCUCUUUUACCCGGGAUGAUAAUGACAGUACCGGGAGAAUAAGCUCCGGCUAACUCCGUG
rnacentral:rRNA from 1 species